UGCGCAGGCGGAAUAUUAAGUCAGUGGUGAAAUCCUACAGCUCAACUGUAGAACUGCCAUUGAAACUGAUAUUCUUGAGUAUAGUUGUAGUGGGCGGAAUAUAUCAUGUAGCGGUGAAAUGCUUAGAUAUGAUAUAGAACACCGAUCGCGAAGGCAGCUCACUAAACUAUAACUGACGCUCAGGCACGAAAGCGUGGGGAGCAAACAGGAUUAAUACCCUGGUAGUCC
rnacentral:rRNA from 1 species